UAGAAGCAAAUCAGCUUGGAAUGUUUCUUGUGUUGAAACAUAACAGAAUUAAUUGAGCAAGAUUUAAAUACACACUGGAACUUGCCUUGUGUUUGGAAUGUGCUGUUUAUCACAAGAUAAACACCUUUUUUCUCUUCCUGGCUUUUCAGUUAAAGCAGAUCCAUCUACAGUUGUUUCACAUGGAAGAAAGCUAUCUCUCACCUGUACAGUGUCCCAUGUACCAGACACCAGUGUGGAACUUGUCUGGGCAAAAAUAAAUAGGACCUGUUCCAUACAUGGUAAAAGGCAAUCAUUAACUUCAAAAAAAUUGGAAUAUACCAUGGUUGUUGAUGAAGUAAAUGAAAAAGCUACAAACUGGGCAUGCUUGGUAUUCCACAAAAGCCUCCUUAAAGCUACAUUACCCAUUAACUUAGAAUACAUCAAGCUUCCACUUUCAGGGAUUACAACCAGCCCCGUCGCAGUUAUGACCGGCACCAUCAUUACUUCUACUUUCCAACCAGGCACAUUGAACAGUACAGAAUUAAGCACCAGGGACACAUUGGAUUUGGAUCAUUCAAUUAGCUUAACAGUUUGCAUUUUAAUUGCCCUCGUGAUUGUGGUUCUCUUGUUAAUAUGCGCAAUUAAAAAAUGGCUGAAGCCAGCGGCUGCAAAACAGACAGCGCAGACAAACGCCCGCCUACAUCACAUACAAAACAUGUCUGGGACUAAUGAAUCAACAG